rnacentral:misc_RNA from 1 species
ACGUGUAUAUACUCACGUAUUAAACUAAACGCGAAUUUGUUGUUAAGCCUGUUGCUGGAAGCGAGCUGUACCAUGCGGGAAUGGUGUGACCCUCGGGUCUAACUCAUGGUCUUAUCGUACUCGAUACGAGGUUCAUUCCAGUAGCAGUAGAUGAAUUUCGGCUGCGUAUUAAGCCUGCACCUUGGCUUGCAGUCCGGGGUGAAAUUAUUACCUACCCACUUAUUUAUACUUAUUCUGAUUUUGUACGUUUAUACGAAUUCCUGACUCUAAUCGGUCGGUUGAGUUUGUAUCGAUGUCGUAUAUUACUAAUACGAAACAACUCUUAGCAACGGAUAUCUUGGUUCU